UAGGGAAUCUUCCACAAUGGGCGCAAGCCUGAUGGAGCAACGCCGCGUGAGUGAAGAAGGUCUUCGGAUCGUAAAACUCUGUUGUUAGAGAAGAACAUGCAGGAGAGUAACUGUUCUUGUAUUGACGGUAUUUAACCAGAAAGCCACGGCUAACUACGUGCCAG
rnacentral:rRNA from 1 species